rnacentral:rRNA from 1 species
AAAUUGAAGAGUUUGAUCAUGGCUCAGAUUGAACGCUGGCGGCAGGCCUAACACAUGCAAGUCGAACGGUAACAGGAAGCAGCUUGCUGCUUCGCUGACGAGUGGCGGACGGGUGAGUAAUGUCUGGGAAACUGCCUGAUGGAGGGGGAUAACUACUGGAAACGGUAGCUAAUACCGCAUAACGUCGAAAGACCAAAGAGGGGGACCUUCGGGCCUCUUGCCAUCGGAUGUGCCCAGAUGGGAUUAGCUUGUUGGUGGGGUAAUGGCUCACCAAGGCGACGAUCCCUAGCUGGUCUGAGAGGAUGACCAGCCACACUGGAACUGAGACACGGUCCAGACUCCUACGGGAGGCAGCAGUGGGGAAUAUUGCA